GUGAACGCUGGCGGUAGGCCUCACCCCUGCAAGUCGAACGGCAGCACCGUAAGAGCUUGCUCUUACGGGUGGCGAGUGGCGGACGGGUGAGGAAUACAUCGGAAUCUACUUUUUCGUGGGGGAUAACGUAGGGAAACUUACGCUAAUACCGCAUACGACCUACGGGUGAAAGCAGGGGAUCUUCGGACCUUGCGCGAUUGAAUGAGCCGAUGUCGGAUUAGCUAGUUGGCGGGGUAAAGGCCCACCAAGGCGACGAUCCGUAGCUGGUCUGAGAGGAUGAUCAGCCACACUGGAACUGAGACACGGUCCAGACUCCUACGGGAGGCAGCAGUGGGGAAUAUUGGACAAUGGGCGCAAGCCUGAUCCAGCCAUACCGCGUGGGUGAAGAAGGCCUUCGGGUUGUAAAGCCCUUUUGUUGGGAAAGAAAAGCAGCAGGUUAAUACCCCGCUGUUCUGACGGUACCCAAAGAAUAAGCACCGGCUAACUUCGUG
rnacentral:rRNA from 1 species